GGAAAGGAGCGAGGCCGCAGCCCAGAUGGAUAGAGAAGCAGUAGGCGGAGAACCAGAGGAGCGUGAGAAGAUGCUGAUCAGGAAGGACACUUGGAGAUAAAACCGGUAGAGGUGC